rnacentral:rRNA from 1 species
GACGAACGCUGGCGGCGUGCUUAACACAUGCAAGUCGAGCGGAAAGGCCACUUCGGUGGUACUCGAGCGGCGAACGGGUGAGUAACACGUGAGUAAUCUGCCCCUGGCUUUGGGAUAGCCACCGGAAACGGUGAUUAAUACCGGAUAUGACCACUUCACGCAUGUGUUGUGGUGGAAAGUUUUUCGGCCAGGGAUGUGCUCGCGGCCUAUCAGCUUGAUGGUGAGGUAAUGGCUCACCAUGGCUUCGACGGGUAGCCGGCCUGAGAGGGUGACCGGUCACACUGGGACUGAGACACGGCCCAGACUCCUACGGGAGGCAGCAGUGGGGAAUAUUGGACAAUGGGCGGAAGCCUGAUCCAGCAACGCCGCGUGAGGGAUGACGGCCUUCGGGUUGUAACCUCUUUCAGUACCGACGAAGCGCAAGUGACGGUAGGUACAGAAGAAGCACCGGCCAACUACGUGCCAGCAGCCGCGGUAAGAC